CCUACGGGAGGCUGCAGUGAGGAAUAUUGGUCAAUGGUCGGGAGACUGAACCAGCCAAGCCGCGUGAGGGAUGAAGGUACAGAGUAUCGUAAACCUCUUUUGUCAGGGAACAAAGGCGGGGACGUGUCCCCGGAUGAGUGUACCUGAAGAAAAAGCAUCGGCUAACUCCGUGCCAGCAGCCGCGGUAAUACGGAGGAUGCGAGCGUUAUCCGGUUUUAUGGGGUUUAAAGGGUGGGCAGGCGGUCUGUUAAGUCAGCGGUCAAAGCCCGGGGCUCAACCCCGGCCCGCCGUUGAAACUGGCAGUCUCGAGUUGGAGAGAAGUAUGCGGAAUGCGCGGUGUAGCGGUGAAAUGCAUAGAGAUCGCGCAGAACUCCGAUUGCGAAGGCAGCAUGCCGGCUCCACACUGACGCUGAGGCACGAAAGCGUGGGUAUCGAACAGGAUUAGAUACCCCAGUAGUC
rnacentral:rRNA from 1 species